rnacentral:rRNA from 1 species
AUAAUGACUCUCGGCAACGGAUAUCUCGGCUCUCGCAUCGAUGAAGAACGCAGCGAAAUGCGAUACUUGGUGUGAAUUGCAGAAUCCCGUGAACCAUCGAGUAUUUGAACGCAAGUUGCGCCCAAAGCCAUUAGGUUGAGGGCAUGUCUGCCUGGGUGUCACAC